rnacentral:rRNA from 1 species
GCGCACGCUGGCGGCAGGCCUAACACAUGCAAGUCGAACGAACUCUUCGGAGUUAGUGGCGGACGGGUGAGUAACACGUGGGAACGUGCCUUUUGGUUCGGAAUAACUCAGGGAAACUUGUGCUAAUACCGAAUGUGCCCUUCGGGGGAAAGAUUUAUCGCCAUUAGAGCGGCCCGCGUCUGAUUAGCUAGUUGGUGAGGUAACGGCUCACCAAGGCGACGAUCAGUAGCUGGUCUGAGAGGAUGACCAGCCACACUGGGACUGAGACACGGCCCAGACUCCUACGGGAGGCAGCAGUGGGGAACCUUGCGCAAUGGGCGAAAGCCUGACGCAGCCAUGCCGCGUGAAUGAUGAAGGUCUUAGGAUUGUAAAAUUCUUUCACCGGGGACGAUAAUGACGGUACCCGGAGAAGAAGCCCCGGCUAACUUCGUG